UACGUAGGGGGGCAAGCGUUGUCCGGAAUCAUUGGGCGUAAAGCGCGUGUAGGCGGCCCGGUAAGUCCGCUGUGAAAGUCGGGGGCUCAACCCUCGAAUGCCGGUGGAUACUGUCGGGCUAGAGUGCGGAAGAGGCGAGUGGAAUUCCUGGUGUAGCGGUGAAAUGCGCAGAUAUCAGGAGGAACACCAAUGGCGAAGGCGGGUCUCUGGGCCGUAACUGACGCUGAGGAGCGAAAGCAUGGGGAGCGAACAGG
rnacentral:rRNA from 1 species